rnacentral:rRNA from 1 species
GAUGAACGCUGGCGGCGUGCCUAAUACAUGCAAGUCGAGCGAACAGGCGAGGAGCUUGCUCCUCUGACGUUAGCGGCGGACGGGUGAGUAACACGUGGAUAACCUACCUAUAAGACUGGGAUAACUUCGGGAAACCGGAGCUAAUACCGGAUAAUAUAUUGAACCGCAUGGUUCAAUAGUGAAAGACGGUUUUGCUGUCACUUAUAGAUGGAUCCGCGCCGCAUUAGCUAGUUGGUAAGGUAACGGCUUACCAAGGCAACGAUGCGUAGCCGACCUGAGAGGGUGAUCGGCCACCCUGGAACUGAGACACGGUCCAGACUCCUACGGGAGGCAGCAGUAGGGAAUCUUCCGCAAUGGGCGAAAGCCUGACGGAGCAACGCCGCGUGAGUGAUGAAGGUCUUCGGAUCGUAAAACUCUGUUAUUAGGGAAGAACAAAUGUGUAAGUAACUAUGCACGUCUCGACGGUACCUAAUCAGAAAGCCACGGCUAACUACGUG